rnacentral:ncRNA from 1 species
AAGAGGGCAAACUUAUCGAAAGGUAAGGUCGCAAAGCCAUAGGGUCUAAGGCGUUUCACACGUUAUGAUAGCCUGGUUGCCAA